UUUAACUGAAGAGUUUGAUCAUGGCUCAGAUUGAACGCUGGCGGCAGGCUUAACACAUGCAAGUCGAGCGGGG
rnacentral:rRNA from 2 species